UACGGAGGGUGCAAGCGUUAAUCGGAUUUACUGGGCGUAAAGGGCGCGUAGGCGGCGCGGUAAGUCACUUGUGAAAUCUCUGAGCUUAACUCAGAACGGCCAAGUGAUACUGCAGUGCUAGAGUGUGGAAGGGGCAAUCGGAAUUCUUGGUGUAGCGGUGAAAUGCGUAGAUAUCAAGAGGAACACCUGAGGUGAAGACGGGUUGCUGGGCCAACACUGACGCUGAGGAGCGAAAGCGUGGGGAGCGAACAGG
rnacentral:rRNA from 1 species